UCGCUAAAGCCCGCUCCGAGUCGGAUGCCUAGUGUAAUUGGUUUUUGUGCUCGUCUGCUCGUUUACUCGUCGUCAGUGUUUUACCAGAUAACAUGUUCGUCAGGGAGACUGGGGCACGAUGACUCGGCAGAAAAUUCUGGUAUUUGCUUUAGAGUCUACAGAAUGAACACUGUCUUUGUGCAUGUGACGCAAACCGAAUCUGCCUGUAAGAUUUUUUCCACAUAAUGUUACGAAUCACGUUUAAACACGCAUCCGGAAGGUCAAAAGUCACCAGGUCAAGGACC
rnacentral:lncRNA from 1 species